AACGAACGCUGGCGGCAUGCCUAACACAUGCAAGUCGAACGAAACCUUCGGGCCUUUUGGCGCACGGGGGCGUAAGGCGUGGGAAGCUGCCCUUAGGUUCGGAAUAACUCCCCGAAAGGGGUGCUAAUACCAGAUAAUGUCUUCUGACCAAAGAUUUAUUGCCAUUGGAUGGGGCCGCGUUGGAUUAGCUGGUUGGUAGGGUAAAAGCAGACCAAGGGGACGAUCCAUAGCUGGUCGGAGAGGAUGAUCAGCAACACUGGGGCUCCGACACGGCCCAGAAUCCUACGGGAGGGAGGAGAGGGUAAUACUGGACGAGGGGGGAAAGCCUGAUCCAGCAAUGACGGGUAAGUGAUGAAGGCCGUAGGGUUGUAAUGCUGUUUUAGCCGGGAUGAUAAUGACGGUACCGGGAGAAUAAGCUCCGGCUAACUACGUG
rnacentral:rRNA from 1 species